rnacentral:rRNA from 1 species
AGCAAUACAUGCAAGUCGAGCGAACAGAUGAGAAGCUUGCUUCUCUGAUGUUAGCGGCGGACGGGUGAGUAACACGUGGGUAACCUACCUAUAAGACUGGGAUAACUCCGGGAAACCGGGGCUAAUACCGGAUAAUAUUUUGAACCGCAUGGUUCAAUAGUGAAAGACGGUUUCGGCUGUCACUUAUAGAUGGACCCGCGCCGUAUUAGCUAGUUGGUAAGGUAACGGCUUACCAAGGCGACGAUACGUAGCCGACCUGAGAGGGUGAUCGGCCACACUGGAACUGAGACACGGUCCAGACUCCUACGGGAGGCAGCAGUAGGGAAUCUUCCGCAAUGGGCGAAAGCCUGACGGAGCAACGCCGCGUGAGUGAUGAAGGUCUUCGGAUCGUAAAACUCUGUUGUUAGGGAAGAACAAAUUUGUUAGUAACUGAACAAGUCUUGACGGUACCUAACCAGAAAGCCACGGCUAACUACGUGCCAGCAGCCGCGGUAAUACGUAGGUGGCAAGCGUUAUCCGGAAUUAUUGGGCGUAAAGCGCGCGUAGGCGGUUUCUUAAGUCUGAUGUGAAAGCCCACGGCUCAACCGUGGAGGGUCAUUGGAAACUGGGAAACUUGAGUGCAGAAGAGGAGAGUGGAAUUCCAUGUGUAGCGGUGAAAUGCGCAGAGAUAUGGAGGAACACCAGUGGCGAAGGCGGCUCUCUGGUCUGUAACUGACGCUGAUGUGCGAAAGCGUGGGGAUCAAACAGGAUUAGAUACCCUGGUAGUCCACGCCGUAAACGAUGAGUGCUAAGUGUUAGGGGGUUUCCGCCCCUUAGUGCUGCAGCUAACGCAUUAAGCACUCCGCCUGGGGAGUACGACCGCAAGGUUGAAACUCAAAGGAAUUGACGGGGACCCGCACAAGCGGUGGAGCAUGUGGUUUAAUUCGAAGCAACGCGAAGAACCUUACCAAAUCUUGACAUCCUUUGACCGCUCUAGAGAUAGAGUCUUCCCCUUCGGGGGACAAAGUGACAGGUGGUGCAUGGUUGUCGUCAGCUCGUGUCGUGAGAUGUUGGGUUAAGUCCCGCAACGAGCGCAACCCUUAAGCUUAGUUGCCAUCAUUAAGUUGGGCACUCUAGGUUGACUGCCGGUGACAAACCGGAGGAAGGUGGGGAUGACGUCAAAUCAUCAUGCCCCUUAUGAUUUGGGCUACACACGUGCUACAAUGGAUAAUACAAAGGGCAGCGAAUCCGCGAGGCCAAGCAAAUCCCAUAAAAUUAUUCUCAGUUCGGAUUGUAGUCUGCAACUCGACUACAUGAAGCUGGAAUCGCUAGUAAUCGUAGAUCAGCAUGCUACGGUGAAUACGUUCCCGGGUCUUGUACACACCGCCCGUCACACCACGAGAGUUUGUAACACCCGAAGCCGGUGGAGUAACCUUUUAGGAGCUAGCCCUUAGAAGGGGCCAAG